rnacentral:rRNA from 1 species
UACGUAGGGGGCGAGCGUUGUCCGGAUUUAUUGGGCGUAAAGAGCUCGUAGGUGGUUCGGUAAGUCAGGUGUGAAACCUCCAGGCUCAACCUGGAGACGCCACUUGAUACUGCUGUGACUGGAGUCCGGUAGGGGAGCGUGGAAUUCCUGGUGUAGCGGUGAAAUGCGCAGAUAUCAGGAGGAACACCAGCGGCGAAGGCGGCGCUCUGGGCCGGUACUGACACUGAGGAGCGAAAGCGUGGGUAGCAAACAGG